UGGGGAAUUUUGGACAAUGGGCGCAAGCCUGAUCCAGCCAUGCCGCGUGCGGGAAGAAGGCCUUCGGGUUGUAAACCGCUUUUGUCAGGGAAGAAAUCUUCUGAGUUAAUACCUCGGGAGGAUGACGGUACCUGAAGAAUAAGCACCGGCUAACUACGUGCCAGCAGCCGCGGUAAUACGUAGGGUGCAAGCGUUAAUCGGAAUUACUGGGCGUAAAGCGUGCGCAGGCGGUUUUGUAAGACAGAGGUGAAAUCCCCGGGCUCAACCUGGGAACUGCCUUUGUGACUGCAAGGCUUGAGUGCGGCAGAGGGGGGAUGGAAUUCCGCGUGUAGCAGUGAAAUGCGUAGAUACGCGGAGGAACACCGAUGGCGAAGGCAAUCCCCUGGGGCCUGCACUGACGCUCAUGCACGAAAGCGUGGGGAGCAAACAGGAUUAGAUACCCUGGUAGUCCACGCCCUAAACGAUGUCAACUGGUUGUUGGGAAGGUUCCUUCUCAGUAACGUAGCUAACGCGUGAAGUUGACCGCCUGGGGAGUACGGCCGCAAGGUUG
rnacentral:rRNA from 1 species